AGAGUUUGAUCAUGGCUCAGAUUAAACGCUGGCGGCAUGCCUUACACAUGCAAGUCGAACGGCAGCACGGGGGCAACCCUGGUGGCGAGUGGCGAACGGGUGAGUAAAGCAUCGGAACGUGCCCUGGAGUGGGGGAUAACGUAGCGAAAGUUACGCUAAUACCGCAUAUUCUGUGAGCAGGAAAGCAGGGGAUCGCAAGACCUUGCGUUCUGGGAGCGGCCGAUGUCGGAUUAGCUAGUUGGUGGGGUAAAAGCCUACCAAGGCGACGAUCCGUAGCGGGUCUGAGAGGAUGAUCCGCCACACUGGGACUGAGACACGGCCCAGACUCCUACGGGAGGCAGCAGUGGGGAAUUUUGGACAAUGGGCGGAAGCCUGAUCCAGCCAUGCCGCGUGAGUGAAGAAGGCCUUCGGGUUGUAAAGCUCUUUCGGUGGGGAAGAAAUUGCACGGGUUAAUACCCUGUGUAGAUGACGGUACCCGACCUAAGAACGCACCGGCUAACUACGUG
rnacentral:rRNA from 1 species